UUGCAGCUUCGAACUUUGAACUCGCCGCCGCCGCCGACUUGGAUGAAGGUGUGGAGGAGGUGGGAGGAUUUCGCCGAGGCAGAGGGGGAAGCGGGGCGCGGUGGAUGGGGAGCGAGGUGGCGGCCGGCGGCGGAUUUGGCCAAGGAGGAGGUGGCGGCGCCAGUGGAUGGGGAGGAGCGUGGAAGGGGGAGAGGUGGCGGCGCGCGGUGGAAGCGGGGGGAGGAGGCGGCCGCGGUGGAAGCGGGGGGAGGAGGCGGCGCGCGGUGGAAGGGGGAGAGGUGGCGGCGCGCGGUGGAAGCGGGGGGAGGAGGCGGCGCGCGGUGGAAGGGGGAGAGGUGGCGGCGCGCGGUGGAAGCGGGGGGAGGAGGCAGCGCGCGGUGGAAGGGGGGGAGGAGGCGGCGCGCGGUGGAAGGGGGAGAGGUGGCGGCGCGCGGUGGAAGCGGGGAGAGGAGGCAGCGACCUAGCUAGGGUUUUUUUU
rnacentral:lncRNA from 1 species